UUUGUGUUGGGAGGUGUGUGCCUCUCCUGAUGAGUCCAAAAGGACGAAACACAAU
rfam:Pleurotus ostreatus PC15 unplaced genomic scaffold scaffold_10, whole genome shotgun sequence.